UGCAGAAGUCUGACCGAGCACGCCGCGUGAGUGAAGAAGGUUUUCGGAUCGUAAAACUCUGUUGUUAGAGAAGAACAAGGAUGAGAGUAACUGUUCAUCCCUUGACGGUAUCUAACCAGAAAGCCACGGCUAACUACGUGCCAGCAGCCGCGGUAAUACGUAGGUGGCAAGCGUUGUCCGGAUUUAUUGGGCGUAAAGCGAGCGCAGGCGGUUUCUUAAGUCUGAUGUGAAAGCCCCCGGCUCAACCGGGGAGGGUCAUUGGAAACUGGGAGACUUGAGUGCAGAAGAGGAGAGUGGAAUUCCAUGUGUAGCGGUGAAAUGCGUAGAUAUAUGGAGGAACACCAGUGGCGAAGGCGGCUCUCUGGUCUGUAACUGACGCUGAGGCUCGAAAGCGUGGGGAGCAAACAGGAUUAGAUACCCUGGUAGUCCACGCCGUAAACGAUGAGUGCUAAGUGUUGGAGGGUUUCCGCCCUUCAGUGCUGCAGCUAACGCAUUAAGCACUCCGCCUGGGGAGUACGACCGCAAGGUUGAAACUCAAAGGAAUUGACGGA
rnacentral:rRNA from 1 species